CCGUCCGUCGCAGCAGAGGGUUCAGGAAGCCCGCCUGGACCAGCAGAGACCAGUAGAGGUUACAGCAGAGACCAGCAGAGACCAGUAGAGACCAGCAGAGACCAUCAGAGACCAGUAGAGGUUACAGCAGAGACCAGCAGAGACCAGUAGAGGGUACAGCAGAGACCAGCAGAGACCAGCAGAGACCAGUAGAGGUUACAGCAGAGACCAGCAGAGACCAGUAGAGGUUACAGUAGAGACCAGCAGAGACCAGCAGAGACCAGUAGAGGUUACAGCAGAGACCAGCAGAGACCAGCAGAGACCAGUAGAGGUUACAGCAGAGACCAGCAGAGACCAGUAGAGACCAGUAGAGGUUACAGCAGAGACCAGUGAAACCAGUGAGCAGUGUGUAACCCCACAUUAUAAUUUCAUAUCAAUAAAUCUGUAUUUUGAGAU